rnacentral:misc_RNA from 1 species
UGCUUUAACCAUUUCUUCAUAUCUGCAACAAAAACAAUAUAUUAUUUAUGCAUACUACAACCCCGCCCGGAGGUGCAGAGGGAGAACCCAUUUCUGGGACAGGGAACGGAGACUUCCCCUACCCCGAUGCGGUAGAAGUUAUUAAAUGGAACAAAAAUAUAGGAACUAACCCUAAAGACCACUGUAUAAAAUCGUUUUGGUAGAGAGAAGCGCAUUGAAAAUUUUA